UUGAAAAAGAAAAAUGUAACAAGGUUU
rnacentral:rRNA from 1 species